rnacentral:rRNA from 1 species
UACGGGGGGGGCAAGCGUUGUUCGGAAUUACUGGGCGUAAAAGGCUCGUAGGCGGCCAACUAAGUCAGACGGGAAAUCCCUCGGCUUAACCGGGGAACUGCGUCUGAUACUGGAUGGCUAGAGGUUGGGAGAGGGAUGCGGAAUUCCAGGUGUAGCGGUGAAAUGCGUAGAGAUCGGCAGGAACACCCAGGGGGAAACCAGCCGACUGGGCAUCUACUGACGCUGAUGUGCGAGAGCGUGGGGAGCGAACCGG